AGGACGAACGCUGGCGGCGUGCCUAACACAUGCAAGUCGAACGAGGUCCAACCGGUGGCAACACUGGUGAAGACCGAGUGGCGAACGGGUGAGUAACACGUGAGCAACCUGCCUCGAAGACUGGGAUAACCCCGGGAAACCGGAGCUAAUACCGGAUACCCCCACCGGGUCGCAUGGCCUGGUGAGGAAAUGGAUUCCGCUUUGAGAGGGGCUCGCGGCCUAUCAGCUUGAUGGUGGGGUAAUGGCCUACCAUGGCACCGACGGGUAGCUGGUCUGAGAGGACGAUCAGCCACACUGGGACUGAGACACGGCCCAGACUCCUACGGGAGGCAGCAGUGGGGAAUCUUGCGCAAUGGGCGAAAGCCUGACGCAGCAACGCCGCGUGUGGGACGAAGGCCUUCUGGGUUGUAAACCACUUUCAGCAGGGACGAUUGUGACGGUACCUGCAGAAGAAGCCCGGCCAACUACGUGCCAGCAGCCGCGGU
rnacentral:rRNA from 1 species